rnacentral:rRNA from 1 species
AUGAACAUUAUAUCUGGAUCUUGUUUGAUGCAAGACGGCUAUUCAUUUAAAUUAGAGAAUAAUGGUUGUUCUAUUUAUAUGAGUAAUAUCUUUUAUGGUCAUGCACCCUUGAUGAGUGGUCUAUUUUUACUAAAUAUUGAUAGUACUGAUACACAUAUUCAUAGUAUUGAAGCCAAAAGAUAUAAGUUUAAUAAUGAUAGUGCAACUUAUUUGUGGCACUGCCGUUUAGGUCAUAUUGAUGUAAAGCGCAUGAAGAAACUUCAUGCUGAUGGGCUUUUGGAAUCACUUGAUUAUGAAUCACUUGAUGCUUGUGAACCAUGCCUCAUGGGCAAGGUGACCAAGACUCCGUUCUCCGGAACAAUGGAGCGAGCAACAGACUUGUUGUAUUUUCUGACCUUCACAGAUGAUUUGAGCAGAUAUGGGUAUAUCUACUUGAUGAAACAUAAGUCUGAAACAUUUGAAAAGUUCAAAGAAUUUCAGAGUGAAGUGGAAAAUCAUCGUAACAAGAAAAUAAAGUUUCUACGAUUUGAUCAUGGAGGAGAAUAUUUGAGUUACGAGUUUGGUCUUCAUUUGAAACAAUGCGGAAUAGUUUCGCAACUCACGCCACACGGAACACCACAGCGUAAUGGUGUGUCCGAACGUCGUAAUCGUACUUUAUUAGAUAUGGUGUGA